rnacentral:rRNA from 1 species
AACGAACGCUGGCGGCAUGCCUAACACAUGCAAGUCGAACGAGACCUUCGGGUCUUGUGGCGCACGGGUGCGUCACGCGUGGGAACCUGCCCUUAGGUUCGGAAUAACUCCCCGACAGGGGUGCUAAUACCGGAUAAUGUCUUCGGACCAAAGAUUUAUCGCCUUUGGAUGGGCCCGCGUUGGAUUAGCUAGUUGGUAGGGUAAAAGCCUACCACGGCGACGAUCCAUAGCUGGUCUGAGAGAAUGAUCAGCCACACUGGGACUGAGACACGGCCCAGACUCCUACGGGAGGCGGGAGUGGGGAAUAGUGGACAAUGGGCGAAAGCCUGAUCCAGCAAUGCCGCGUGAGUGAUGAAGGCCUUAGGGUUGUAAAGCUCUUUUAACCGGGAUGAUAAUGACAGUACCGGGAGAAUAAGCCCCGGCUAACUCCGUG